UCCACCACAUUUUCCUGUCCCAAAUCCCACCGGAAGAUUCCGCUGCCGACGGCCUCCAUCACACAGCCGCCGGUCUCCGGCCUGAUUUCCGCGAGCCCAGCCGGUCGCGCCACCGCCGGGAGGAUUGCAGAGACAGCUCCAGGUCUGGGCGAUGCAUCUCGCAGUGGCCAGAGGAGGAGAGAGCGCCGCCGACGGGGGCCAAGCGAGAGUAGGCAUCGCCGUUCUUUUCCGUGGAGGAGCAGUGCGGUGGGGAAGACCCCGGCGGUGGGGUGCUCGCGUCUGAACUCUGAAAGGCAGCUCGGCCACUCCACAGGUACACCAUUAAGCUACAGACGGAGUAGUAGUUUUACUUCCAUACCGCCAGUUUUAUAUAUUAGCUCCAAAGCACUUCAAAGUUCAGAAAGGAGAAUAAAUAAUGGAAGCCCUCAAAUUCAACCUUUUUGUGCCGUGUAUUUUCGAAAAUAAAUUGCAAUUUUGCAGGCCAUGGUAAAACAUUCAACUGGCUUGCCCUGUUUGGAACCAUCCAGAUUAUAUAAUUCAGUUUUUAUAAUCUAUUUCGUCUUCAAACAGGACAGUUUAUGGUGUAGAUUAUAAAAACUAGAUGAACAGAUUAUUAAAAACUCAUAAUCUACUCUACCUCAGCUAAAAUCAAAUUAUGAAUUGCUAAUAACCCAUUACCCUUGUAAAUUUAAAGAUAAUUACAUUCCUACCACCGCCACCCUCCUCUUUUAAAAAAAAAACAGAGGACGGACAUGUCAUUAUGCAAUGUAAAACCUGGAUUAUAGUUUAUAUAAUCUGGCCUCCGAACAUGCCCACGUAGAUUAUUUUUAUAAACCAGAUUAUAUAAUCUAUCUUCAUAAUCCAGAUUAUCAUGUUAAACUUCAAAUGUUCCUGGCCUUUCUUAUUGUUCAUGUUUGCUAUUAUAACUGUACUGAACCCCCCCGUGGAAGAUGGAUUGGUUCCGUGCAUCCAAAGACGAUGCAGGCUGCAGUUUAUAUAAUCAAGACUACAUUAGGAGUUGUUACAAUCUCGACAACGCACGUACACAUCUGUACUUAUCUAUACGACGUACUAGGCUUUAUGGUUAGGAGGUUAGGAUAUGCACCGUAUCGCUAACAUGUACUACUAACACCAAUAAUCCGCCAUGUGGGUUAGUAAUCAAAUAACUCCUUUGUGUAAUCCGUGGAUAUCGUGGUUAUCUAAACACUGAAAUUCCAAAGUUGAGGCUUAGUAUGUGUACACAAGACAUCAUCAAGGCAGGGGUUCAAAUCUCUUCAGAAGUUUAACAAGACAUCAUCAAAGCAAGGGUUCAGAUCUCUUCAGAAGUUUAACAAGACAUCAUCAAGCCAGGAGUUCAAAUCUCUUCAGAAGUUUAACAAGACAUCAUCAAAGCAGGGGUUCAAAUCUCUUUAGAAGUUUAACAAGACAUCAUCAAGGCAGGUGUUCAAGGGGCAGCGUUGGGAAUGCUUUGGCGUUGGCAAUGCUGGUAUGAGCUUCUUUCUUGGCUACUUCUUCUUCUUCUUUCGGGCGAGGUUAGGUAAUGUUGGUCUGUGCCUCCCUCCGUUCCUAAAUAUAAGUCUUUUUAGAGAUUCCAUUAUUGAACUACAUACGGAUAUAUAUAGAUAUAUUUUGGAUUGUAGAUUCACUCAUUUUGCUCCGUAUGUAAUUCCCUGUUGGAAUGUCUAAAAAGAAUUAUAUUUAGGAAUGGAGGAAGUAGAAUUUUAUCCACUAAAUGGCUGUUGGUUGUUUGUAGCACGGCUUAGGUUUCUGAAAGUAAAUCAAAUAAGGGUUCAGUGCUUUGUCUCUGCUCUGCAUCACCAAUUAUAGUGUUAUUAGGUCAGAAAAUCAGCAGAAUUCUCAUCUAGAUAGUUCACCCGUAUAUUGAGUUUGUGUUCUUGGUUAUGCCGAAACGAAUAAACCUCUUUAUAAACAUGAGAUUCACCUUUUCUUGCUUGAGUCAAUACGUUGGUGGGCUAGCUAUCUAUCCAUAAUGGCGCGCUGCUCCUUGCUUUUCAUUUCUUGGCAAUCUCUGUUAGCCUGAAGUACAAUUUGUAUGGGGCUCCUUUGAUGUUGUUUACAGUGUGAGGCGAACGCAAUCCGGCCACAACUCAUUGUGUAUUACUGAUCGCAACACAAACUCUGCCUCUGUUUUUCUAUAAACAUAGCCGGUCCCAACACCGUAAAAAGGGGAGGGUUAUGAUAAGCUUGGUAAGCCAACUAAAAAACCCAACCAUUCUUAUGGAUAUCAAACACAUGAACAGACCGAUAACCAUUCCAGCUGCUAGUCCCAUCCUGGCAUUAUUACAACAACACUCCGAGAACAUAUCAAACGCACCCCAUAAAUUUGCUACUGGCACUAAUGUUUGAGUAGCGAAGAAGAGGUCUUUGAACUGUUUGUUGAAGUGCUAGCGUCGGAGGAUGCGGUACCAGAGGUGUGCGGUGGCAUACUGGACCACGUCGACGACGACACCCCAAAGGUGUGGGAGGACGACGAUGACAUCCCAACGGCAUUGGCCAAGGCGAACGGCUCAAACACCGGCACCGGCAUCUUGGAAGGAAGCAUCGGCAGUUGGUAGGCUUGGUCGACCUUGGGCUGGAGAGUGGCCAUGGCUGUCCUGAUGGACGGCCGCGCGCUCGGGUUUGGAUGCGCGCACCAGAGCCCGAUGACCAUCACCCUCUCCACCUCCGCAGCGUCGUAGUCACCGUUCAGCCGCUCGUCGAUGGCCUCAAGGAUGGCUCCCCGGCCGUAGAGUCCCCAGGCCCACUCGACCAGCCGGAAGACGCCGCCGUUCUUCUGCUGGUGUUGGUUGGGUGCGAUUACGCUCAUUGGCCUCCUGCCGCAUGCCACCUCCAGUAGAACCACGCCGAAGCUGUACACGUCGGACUCGGCGCUGGCCCUGCCGGUGUUCACGCACUCAGGGUCCAAGUAGCCUGGAGUUCCAGAGAUUGCGGUCAUGGUCUGCAUCCCGGCGGCGUGGUCAACGAGCCUCGCGAGCCCAAAGUCGCCUAGCUUGGCUCCAAAGGACUCGUCGAGCAUCACGUUGCUGGGCUUGAUAUCCCGGUGCAACACGCACUGCUCCCACUCUUCAUGGAGGUAGAGCAGUGCAGACCCAAGCUCCAACAAUAUCUUCAUCCUGCAGUUGCACUUGCAACCAUCAACAUAUACAUACAAUGCAUAUAUAUAAUUCUAUGAUCGCACCGCCGCAGCACAUACAACUUAUUAUCAAGAUGGAUGGUAAGUACGUACCUCAUUGGCCAUGUGAGGAAGGUGCCCUGCUUGCUGUGGAGAUGGAUGUCGAGGCUGCGGUUGGGCAUGAGCUCGUAGACCAGCAGGAGCUCCUGAUCAUGGCCAUGGCACCAGCCGAUGAGCUGCACGAGGUUCCGAUGACGCAGCCUGCUUAUCACCUUGACCUCGGAUUUGUACUCCUUCUUUCCUUGUAUGGAAGACUGCAACCUUUUGAUGGCCACGGCUAGCCCAGCCGGGUCUCUCAAAUAGCCUUGGUAUACGGCGCCAAAGCCGCCUUGCCCAAGCUUCUCCUCUGCGGCGAAGUUCUUCGUUGCUUCCAUGAGCUCGCGGUAUGGGAACCGCCUUGGCCCCGUCCCCAUCUCGAUCUCCGACAUCGGCUCGCCUUCGCCUUCUGAGUCUGUGUAGUACUCCUCCGUCUCCAUCAUAUUCUGAUGACGACGGCGGCGCACUACAAGUGCCGCUGCAGCGGCAAAGAGGAGGACGAGGAACAUUGUUGCGCCGGCAGCUGCUCCGACUAUAACUCCAGAACCUAGCCCUGGUGGGGAUUGUGGUGGUGAUGAUGGUGGUGGUGGUGGUGUUUGUUGUGGUUCCAAUGAAGAGUUGAAGUACCAAGAGUUUAGAAAUAUAUCCAUCCCCGACAACGUGUUCGUGGAGAAGCCAAUGGAGACCUGCUCCGGUAGUACGCUCUUGAAGUCAACCUUGGAGCUAAGGCUGGAACUCCGUUGGUCUUGGCCAUCUGCAUCAUCGCUCCAUAAUGUCACAGCUAAGAUGCUGGAAACAUUGUCGUACUCGAUUUGGGCGGUCUGGGUGUUGUUGAGGGUGAAGCUCGGCAGGGGCUGUGUACUCACCGAUAUGAGGGAGUUGACAUUGAUGCCGAUGUGGUCGUAGCUGCUGGUGUCGGGGUCAGCUACUAUUGUGUUGUUGAAGUUGUCGAACUUCACCGACACGAACCGGCUAUCACCGGACGGCACGGCGUCUGCGCUUUGGUUAGUGAGGCCGAGGCUGUCGGGGGUGCAAUUGCCAGGCAGGCUAGACGGAUAGCCGGCGAGGAAAAAGGCCAUGCCCCCCUUGCUGCUCUCGUCACCGGUGAUAUGGAUCUGGAACUGGAACUGCGUGGUGAAGCUGGCCACCUCGCCGGUCAUCUUGUCCCAGAGCUGCAGCGGUGCAGCGCUGUACGACACCCGGCUGGCAACACGGUACGUAUUCGUGUUCAUGGGGAUACUUCCAUACAAUGUGUUGAAGGAUGCGUCGCCUUCGAACUUCAUGUCCUUUAGGUCUUCUGUGGUGAACCUGGAGCAGUUGAACGCCAAGGAGACGGCAGGAGUUGGAAGGUGGAAGAAGAUGAUGACGAGGUGGAGGAGGAGAAAACAGGUGGAUGUGGUGGCGCUCGAAAAGCUGGCCAUACCGGUCGGCGGUCGCUGGCUCGCUCGGUGCCUCGAUCGGUGUGCAAAAACUCUUAAUAUACAGUGCAUAAAAUAGAUUAUUUACCGGACCACACCAGGUACUAGUUAUUCGGUCUAGCUGGCCUUUCUUUGAUUAUUUUUGGGGUCUUCUAGCCAGUCUUUCUUUUUUGGCAAAGCUCUAGCCAAGUCUUGCUGGAAAUUUGAAACCUUCCAAGUCAACUAGUCAACUACAAAUCAGAGUCGGCUGAACCAGACAAAUCUAGCUCUCGUCUCAUGGUUCAGCUAGAAAUGACCCGUCCCUAGAACUUUAUGCAUAGAGAUUAUUACGACAAAACGCCAGGAACAAGUCCUAGUAAUUCUAGCUGGCCUUUGUUUGGUUGUCCUUGGGUCUUCCAGCCAGUCUUUCGUUUUUGGCAAAGCUCUAGCUUAGUCAAUAAAGCUGAAACCUUCCGAGUCAACUAGUCAACUGCAACUUGUUAUAACCCGCAAAAAAAAAAAUUCUUCUUGUCGGCCGAAUCAACAANAACAACAAAAUCUCUUGUGUGAAAAUUUAGCCAAAAGUAACCUGUCUCCAAUACUGUAACUAAAUGAAUUGAUCUCAGUGUAUUAUCUCUCUCCCCUGUGUCGCACCCCAGGCGACACCGGGGCCCAGCCGCCACGGCCAAAGUCUCCUCUUCGCCGGCUUCCCCUCGCCACCGUUGAUGUCGCCGGCUACUGCGCCACGAUCGUGGCGCCCCUUGCCCGUCGAAGGCCGCACAGGGGAGGUUUGCUUAUGGUAGAGGCACCAGGGGUGGCCUCGCUCGGCUGGGGUGACGGUGGGCUGACUGCCAACGCAGGGAUGUCGGGGCGUUGGGCUCCUUCCUUGUCGGGUGACGCCGAUACAUGGUGGCGACGGAUCUGUCUUGCUCUUGCCUAUAUCCGGCUUUGCCGGUCUUGUUCGUAUUUAAUUUUAUCGACACCUCUCUCUCUAAACAUGCGGUCAUGAUUAUCGAGUUUGGCUUUCGCUUGAGGGCAAGCGAGGACUAAGCUUGGACGAGUUGAUACGUUCAUAUUGCAUCAUGUUUUUUUAUUGAUAUUUAUUAUGUUUUGAGUCUUUAUUCCCCCCCCUUUAGGAUGCAACCCUAAUGCUUUUUAUCUUUUAUUUUACAAGAUUCAUACAAAGAAGGAGAUUGCUGGCACCUGCUAUUCUGGACCGGAAAAGAUCAUAGAAGAGUUGGAUAUUCUCUAGAACUCCAAAUGACCUAAAUUUACGAAGAAUUGUUUGGAACAUAUAAAAAUUAUUGGCAAAAGAAAUACCAGAAGGGGACCCACCAGUAGGCCACAAGCUCAGGGGCGCUCGCGCCCUACCCCCAGGGUGUGCCCCUGAGCCCGUGGGCCCCCGACAGGCCUCUGAUGUCCAUCUUGUACUGUAUUAGGCCAUUUGCCCUAUAAAAAAAAUCAAAGGAUUACUUUCGGGAGAAGCGGGACCGUCUCAAGGUGGAGCUAGGGCGGGAACAUUUUUGCCCUCAGGCGGAGCGAUUUCGCCGGGAAACAUCCCUCCGAGAAAAGGAAAUCAAGGACAUCUUCAUCAUCAACGCUUCCUCCAUUGUGGGAGGACCAAUCUUCAUCACCAUCUUCACCAGCACCAUCUCAUCUCAAGCUCUUGUUCAUGUCUUGUAUUUAAUCUUUGUCUCCAAAUGUCAGAUUGUUACCUGUGGGUCGCUAGUAGUGUUGAUUACGUCUCGUAGUUGAUGCUAGUUGGUUUAAUUGGUGAAAGAUUAUAUCUUCAGAUCUUGAAGCAUAUUCAUUACACCACUGUUCUUUUAACAUGGUGAUGAUUUGUGAGUAGUUACUUUAAUUCUUGAGGAAAUGCGAGAAAUCUUGUUAUAAAUAAUCAUCUAAAGUUGGUAAUUCGUUUGAUAUUUU
rnacentral:lncRNA from 1 species